CGAUCAAAGCGAUAUCCACGUGAGGGAGUAGAUUCACGUGUACGAACCAAUCGUGUUUAUUUUCGUACCCUACCUUGCCGCUGCUCCUCCAGGCCACCCACCCCUUUCAAGGUGCAGUCCAAGUGUUCUAAGUCUAUUGCGUAUUGACCGGUGACACAUUAACACACAUGCACAUCCAUAGAAAUAGGUUUUACAUGCUUGUAAAUAUUCUCUCGAGAACCAGAUGCCAGAUGCUCUGGCACAUCUGGGCGCAAGAGCAGAGUAAGAAAAUGGCUGACGAAUAUCAUGUAAAAAAGGACCCAUAAAAGACUAGAACUGAGCAAAAUCUGACUCCGGAUACACACUGGAUUGCUCAAAGGAGGAGAAGGCGGAGAAGACCUUAAUGGAACCCUCGAAUUGUGCUGGAGGCUUUCUGGAAGGCCGGCAGUGAGUCACAAACGGAGGAAAGGAGAUAUAUGUAGGGGUUAUCACAAAUAUGUAUAUAGUUUCACUGAAUUAUUAUUAUAAUAU